rnacentral:lncRNA from 1 species
GCUCAAAGGCUGCCCGGCGCGGACGCCCGCACUUCCUGGCACAAGCGGGCUAGCCAGCCGCAGCUGGGGCCGCGGGGCCGGGCUCGCCGCCCUCUCCCUUCUCCCUUCUCCCUUGAGUAAUAGGGGCGGAGCCGGGCGGGCCGGCGCGCGGGGCUCCAGCCCCUCUCUCGGUGGUCACCUGCGGCCGGGCGCAGCAGGUGUCCGGUCUGCCACCCGGCGCUGGGAACUAGGAGCGCUAGCCAGGAGCCGCGGCACUUCGGAGCUUAUUCACAUAAGCAUUCUGGUAUGCCAGGUACCAAGAAUAAGAUCACUGAAGGCAGUAAAACUGAAAUUGGAAGAUUAUCAGCCAAGAAAGACCUACUGGCAAAAGCAGAGGAUGGGAAAUAAAGUGGAGCGGUGUUUGGUUGCAUGUACUCUAGCAGGCCUUCUGCAACUCAGCUGA